UACAGAGGUCCCAAGCGUUUGUUCGGAUUCAUUGGGCGUAAAGGGUGCGUAGGCGGCGCGGUAAGUCGGGGUGUGAAAUCUCGGAGCUUAACUCCGAAACUGCAUUCGAUACUGCCGUGCUUGAGGACUGGAGAGGAGACUGGAAUUUACGGUGUAGCGGUGAAAUGCGUAGAUAUCGUAAGGAAGACCAGUGGCGAAGGCGGGGUCUCUGGACAGUUCCUGACGCUGAGGCACGAAGGUCAGGGGAGCAAACGGG
rnacentral:rRNA from 1 species